ensembl:lncRNA
UUUUUCCAGAAUUAGGAGAAUUCAGACCUCCUUAAAUCUGGACUUGUGAUUGCAACACAUUUGAGCAUUUUUACCUCUUGCCAGAGAGUCUUAUUUUUAAUCUGCUGCUCUGUGACUUGGUCAGGGCAAGCAGUAUGCUGUAUAUCUGCCUGCAGUUGUUUGGAAUUGAUGCAGUGUGCUGUGUGUUGCACUCAGAUUUACAGCCAAGGUGUUCCUUCCUUUUGUGUUGACAGAAGUCUUCAGAAAGUCUACUUCCAUGACUGGACCUUUGAUAAGAAGAGUUGAAGUACUUAGCAGUCUAAGUGCAGGAUGAUUGGUUUGAGCUUGUCAUGACACUUCAGCUCGUUGGCCUACCCUCUGCAAGAGUGCGGUAAGAAGCAAGUUCUUUGUUACAUAAGUUGAGCCGGGUUAGGAUUGCCCUGGAGAUGGAUCUUCCCAGCACACGUGCUGCAGUCACUGCAGUGUGCCCGUGGAGCAGCCAGAGCUCAGCAGCAAGUGCUGAGAUCUUCCAUGCAGGACCUAGUACUGGGCUUAGUGACAUAAAGCAGAACUGCUGCAACCGCUGCAUGAAGGUGCUUUAAACAGCACCUUCCCAGGAGAGAAACAGUCCGAAGUCUGCAGUUUCCAAUGAAAUGCUGUCCAAGAACUGCUGGAAAAGAAGUUCAGCAAGAGAAAGACCAUCAUCUCUUCUUGAACAUGACUUACCGUCCUCACGUCAAAGCUAGAGAAGCCUUCUCAUCGUAUAACAGCAAAAGGAGGAAAAGUGGAUUCAAUGUGAGCUGUUAGCUGCACUGCAUAUUCUACAAGGUACUGAUAGGAAGCCUGAAAAUUAGUACUCUAACCCAGUAGAAAAACAAGAAUUUUUCAGCUCAUUAGACCUUCAUACAGCAGCCCCAACUGAGGGCAAAAGACAAUCCAAAUACAUUUAAUGCUAACAUUAAUUUAUUUGAGGAUAGUUUUUAUCUAGUGCAAACUUAGAUUCUCCCCCCCCCCCCCCUCGCUUAGUAUUUACAAAUGCAUUCUUUUAAGAUGUUAGGUAUUUCUCCAUGUUCGCUGGGACCUUUCUUAACCAGAGCUUUCCUUUACCAUUUGAACUGUUAAUAAUAUCUUCCUUCUUUUCCAUGCAUCUUGUCUUGUAGGAGUAUACUUUCCCUUCCCCACAUCAAGCCUAAAAUCUGUUUAAGGUGAUAUUAGAGGAAGAAAAAGCAAAAAGAAACAAGGGGUAUAGCCAACCUUUUUAAUUAGAGUAUAUUGUACUUCCAAACUGGAUACACUAGAAAUUGGCAAUGCAACAUAAGAUGCAAAGGAAUAUACCAGUUACUGUCAAAAUGACCCUGUACAGCCUUAUAAUGCAAAAAGCUUUAUACAAUACAAACUUUAAUAAUGUACACAGACCUUGACAGAAUGAUAUUUGAACAUAAUACACCAAGUAAAAAAAUACAGAAGAAAGAAAAAAGUGCUGAGAACUUUAACUGAAGUACUGAAUGGAAAAACACACUAGCCUUCAUUGAAGAAUGCAUAGGGAUAAACUAUUAUGAAAUUAGCUUUAUGGUGGGGGGAAUUUUUCAGAACUGUUGGUCUUUAAUAGGUAGGGGAUAUCUCCGGAACACAUUCCUUUCUUUAGUCUUGAACUGCAAACCAAUUAUGUUAAUAUGCAUGAGCUCUGAUAAAUACUGUAUUUUUUUCUUAAAAAAAUAAAAACCUCCUAACACACUUUUCCUUACAGAGAAAACUUCUAUGACGUACCAGAAAGAAUGAAUUUAUCCUUUCCAAAGUGCUAAACAAACUUCCCAGGUAUAUUAGACAUUACUAUGUCAGGUACUGGUACAGUGGAACGUUGUUGAACAUGUGGCAUUCGUGUGCUGACAGCUCAUUCUUGGAACUUCCAGCCUUAUUUAUAUUGCAGUUUGGUUUACAGAAAGCAUCCUAGUAAUAUUCGUACUUCCUCCUAGACAGCUGUACUUUCCCUGUUGGUUUGAAAAAAAAGCUUUUUGCUUUGGAAGUGUUUGCUUUACUAUGGUGGGGUCAGAGAUAUAUGCAUCGAGUGUAUUUUAUAGGACUGGUAUAGUUUCUGGGUGCAGAUUGCAUAUUUCAGGCUGUUGAGAUACUCAGUUGUUUAUGUUUUGUGUAUUUACUAAUACACCACUUUCUAUUUUGUCUGUACUCCCAGGGGGGUUACCAGGAGUUCCGAUGGCAAAGAGGGCCCUGAGUUGUGUUGUUACUAGAAUUUUUAUAUUUACUUUGGAACAGAUGGCUUUUCUCUACUGCACAGACAGGCAGAACUGCCAUAUGCUCAGUAGAACCAAAAUUUUCUGCUGGAAUGUAAACAAAAUGGUGGGACUUCUCUGCCCUUUAAUUCAUUAUUCCAAAUAAUAACCUGCUCCUAUUUUGGAUGUUUCCCCUUUGUAAAUAGCUUUGAGGAUGUUAAACAGGAGUGCAUAAAUGAGGACGUCCUCCCUGAACAGGAAGACUUUGGUCAUGCCUGUGGAGAGUGUUUGGCCAUCUCAGUGCAAAACAAAUGUAGGAAUCUUCUACAUAAAUAAAACGAUGCAAGUUCUGCAUAAAAACAAAACAAAACAAAAACCUCUACAUAAGCUUCAUUUAAAAAAUGAAGAAGAUUGAGAUUGUUUCUACGUGUGUGUGUGUGUGUGUGUGUGUGUGUGUGUGUGUGUGUGUGUGUGUGUGUGUGUGGCUCAGAGCCUUUGUGGACCAGAAAUGCCUUCCUGAACCAGGAUAUUGCGUUACUGCUGUCCAAACAAGGGGCUGGCUCCAACUGGCCUGCUGAGCUCCCUCCUUUCCACAGCACCCUGCAGAAGUAGUUGCUUUGGAACAGCAUGAGAGUGGGUAAGUA